AUUGAACGCUGGCGGCAGGCCUAACACAUGCAAGUCGAGCGGAUGAAGGGAGCUUGCUCCUGGAUUCAGCGGCGGACGGGUGAGUAAUGCCUAGGAAUCUGCCUGGUAGUGGGGGAUAACGUCCGGAAACGGGCGCUAAUACCGCAUACGUCCUGAGGGAGAAAGUGGGGGAUCUUCGGACCUCACGCUAUCAGAUGAGCCUAGGUCGGAUUAGCUAGUUGGUGGGGUAAAGGCCUACCAAGGCGACGAUCCGUAACUGGUCUGAGAGGAUGAUCAGUCACACUGGAACUGAGACACGGUCCAGACUCCUACGGGAGGCAGCAGUGGGGAAUAUUGGACAAUGGGCGAAAGCCUGAUCCAGCCAUGCCGCGUGUGUGAAGAAGAUCUUCGGAUUGUAAAGCACUUUAAGUUGGGAGGAAGGGCAGUAAGUUAAUACCUUGCUGUUUUGGCGUUACCAACAGAAUAAGCACCGGCUAACUUCGUG
rnacentral:rRNA from 1 species